UGUCGCCCUCAGGGCCGGGCGGGGAAGAUGGCGGCGGGGCCGGGGAAGCACAAGCUCCUGAGCGCCGGCCCCACCGAGCCCUGGUCCAUCCGCGAGAAGCUCUGCCUGGCAUCCUCCGUCAUGCGCAGCGGCGACCAGAACUGGGUCUCAGUCAGCAGAGCAAUCAAACCUUUUGCAGAGCCAGGACGCCCACCUGACUGGUUUUCCCAAAAGCACUGUGCAUCUCAGUACUCAGAGCUCUUGGAGACCACAGAGACCCCUAAAAGGAAACGUGGUGAGAAGGGAGAAGUUGUGGAAACUGUGGAAGAUGUUAUUGUGCGGAAACUGACUGCAGAGCGGGUUGAGGAGUUGAAGAAAAUUAUUAAAGAAACACAGGAAAAAUACAGACAACUCAAGAAGGAUGCAGAGCUGAUCCAGGCCGGACACAUGGAUAACAGACUGGAGGAGCUGUGCAAUGAGAUCAUGAUAAAGAAAAAAAUGGAAGAAGAGGAGGCAGAAGUCAAGAGGAAGGCUACAGAUGCUGCUUAUCAGGCUCGCCAGGCCAUUAAGAACCCACCUCGAAGGCUCACAGGGGUGAUGGUUCGUUCUCCUGCUGGCUCCACCUCCCCGGGCGGGGAUUAUUCCCUCGGAGAUCUGUCCCAGCCCGCUGGGGAUGAGGCCAGUCCAGGGGUCACGCCAGGGACAUUGCCCAGCACCCCAGUUGCCUCCUUCAUUGGAAUCCCUGACACCCCUCCAGGCUCUGCUCCCCUGGAUGCCCCCAUGACCCCAGUCACUGAUGAUUCACCCCAGAAAAAGAUGCUAGGACAAAAAGCAACUCCGCCUCCUUCCCCUCUGCUCUCAGAGCUGCUGAAGAAGGGCAGUCUCCUGCCCACAAGCCCCAGGCUGGUUGGUGAAAAUGAAAUGGCAGUGGCUUCUGGUCAUAUGAACAGCUCUGGAGUGCUGCUGGAGGUAGGAAGUGUCCUUCCAGUGCUGCACAGUGGGGAAAUGCAGUCGGCACCUGGUGCUGUCCCUGCAUCUCCGGCUGCUUCAGGUGCUCCUACGCUUUCCCGGCUUUUAGAAGCUGGUCCUGCACAGUUCACCUCACCUCUUGCUUCCUUCUCCGCUGUUGCCAGCGAGCCUCCAGCUAAGCUCCUGCCACCCCCCGUAGAGCCUGUGUCCCAGGCCACUAUUGUCAUGAUGCCCACGCUGUCAGCACCAGCCGUUGUGCCACCAGCUGCAGCUCCAGAAAGCAUAGCCACAGUGAGCCAGCCAGAAGCCUGUGUUUCCAUGGAGGCAGUGUCUGAUUCCCAUACUGUGACAGUGUCCAUGGACAGCAGUGAAAUAUCAAUGAUCAUUGAUUCCAUUAAGAAAGACUGCCUGGGUUCUGGGGCUGGCAACACUGCAGGAUCUUCCAAAGAUCACUGCAUGGAUGGGAAAGAAGAUCUGGAUCUGGCUGAAAAAAUGGAUAUUGCAGUGUCCUAUACGGGGGAAGAGCUGGACUUCGAUACGGUUGGAAAUAUUAUAGCCAUCAUUGAGGACAAGGUAGAUGACCACCCUGAAGUCCUGGAUGCAGCAGUUGUUGAAGCUGCUCUGUCUUCUUUCUGCGAAGAUACCGAUGACCCUCAGACCCUUCCUGGCCCAUGGGAACAUUCAAUUCGUCAGGAGCAUGAGAAACAAGCCCAGAUGCCACAAGUGUCUGUGACUGUGAAGCAGGAGAGAUUGGAGUGUGAGGAACCAGAGGCAAAGGGAAUUCGAGACCUAAUGGGUAUCAAUGAGCUGGGGCCAGAAAUAAAGACUGAACUUGCAGAGCAGGACCAGAGUCAGCUGGGCCCUGAGGAAACCAUACCAGCAACUGCAAGAGUGACAGAAACACCAGAGCUUAGAAACCAAGAGAUAGAGGAAGAUCAAAGAGCAGCUGUAACAUCAGGAGAGACUUCUGAAAUCAAGAUAGAGUCAUCCCAGGGAGAAGAUGCAGUGCUCAAUCCAGUGAAGACAGAGACCCCACCUGAUGAUGAUUCAUCCCCUCCACAAGUCCCAAAUGUGAGUGAAGACUCCUCACAGGCUGAUGUUCAGCACAAAUUUGAGCUGUCAGAGUCAAUGAAGGAGGAGGCCCAAGCCCUGUUUAGGAGUCAGAUGAAGGAUGGGCAGGGGGAGGAGGAUGAUGAGGAUGGUGCCAGUGAGGCUGCCAGUUUGGAGGAACCCAAAGAAGAAGACCAGGGUGAGGGGUAUCUCUCAGAGAUGGAUAACGAACCUCCUGUGAGCGAGAGCGAUGACGGCUUCAGCGUCCACAACGCGCCCUUGCAGUCCCACGCGCUCGCCGACUCCAUCCCCAGCAGCCCGGCCUCCUCGCAGUUCUCAGUGUGCAGUGAGGACCAGGAAGCAAUACAGGCUCAGAAGAUCUGGAAGAAAGCCAUCAUGCUGGUUUGGAGAGCAGCAGCUAAUCACAGGUAUGCCAAUGUCUUCUUACAGCCUGUAACUGAUGACAUAGCACCAGGCUACCACAGCAUCGUGCAGAGGCCAAUGGAUUUAUCUACCAUCAAAAAGAACAUUGAGAACGGGCUGAUCCGAACCACAGCUGAGUUCCAGCGGGAUAUUAUGCUGAUGUUUCAGAAUGCAGUGAUGUACAACAGCUCUGACCAUGAUGUGUACCACAUGGCUGUGGAGAUGCAGAGAGAUGUCCUGGAGCAGAUCCAGCAAUUUCUGGCCACACAACUGAUGAUGCAAACAUCAGAGUCAGGGAUCAGUGCAAAGAGCCUGCGGGGGCGAGACUCCACUCGCAAGCAGGAUGCUUCGGAGAAGGACAGUGUCCCAAUGGGCUCUCCUGCCUUCCUUCUCUCUCUCUUUUGGGAAGACAAACCAAUUGGUGCAGUCCUGUAGUUCCUACAUCUCUCAUGUUUAUACAGCUGCCCCUUCCACACGUCCAAGGCAGUACAAAAGGUCUUGGGAGAAUGAGGAGUCAGCUGUGUGUCCUUUAUCCAUUCCUGGUUCAGAAAGCAAAUAAGACUCUGCAGAAAUAUCUUGCUCUGUGCCUGUGGUCAUCUGGAAGUGUUUGGAAAAAUACUCCCUCUGGGAAACCCGUAGUCUCUGAGUCACUGUGAGGAGAGAGAGGAGGAAGAUGUAUCUCACAUGUAUCUAAAGACAGAGGAGUACUCCAGGAGAGGCAGCAGAUCAGCCAGAGAGAGAGGGCAGCGGAUCAGAGGAAGCUCUCAGCUCACCUGCUCAUGGAAAAGAGCUGUGUGGAGGAACUAGGGAGCCUAGUGCCAGGGUCACUCAGCUGGAUGAGCACUUCCCAUAGGGAUCAGCAGCUAAUCAGGACGGAGGCACCAGAGGGCGGCGCUGUGCCAUCGAGGCGGACAUGAAGAUGAAGAAAUGAUGCUGAAGACACAAAAUCCCGGCAGAAUCCCAGGCAUUCGGAGCUGGAGUACAAGCAGACAGCUCUUAACAGCUGUUGGAGGAGGAGGAAAAGCUGCAGGUCCAUUUCUGGGACCUGGUUCACCACCUUUGCUUGCCCUUCUGGACAGCAGUGUCUUGUCAGAAUGUGUAACCCAAAGAAACUUCCCCAGAGGGGAAGACCGGCCCCCCUGCCUGUUUUAGGGCAGUUGUCUUGGGCUUCAUCAGUGUUCUGGUGUUAGCUAGCAACUGGCGGCUCGUAUGUACUGUAAUGUGAAGUGUACAGAUUUUUACUAGUGAUGUGUAAAUGUGAUGUAUAUUAAA